AACGUACGCUGGCGGCACGCCUAACACAUGCAAGUCGAACGAAGUAGCAAUACUUAGUGGCAGACGGGUGAGUAACAUGUAGGUAUCUGCCCUUUGGCCUGGAAUAACACGAGGAAACUUGUGCUAAUACCGGAUAAGUCUUUACGGAGAAAGCUUUAUGCACCAUUGGAUGAGCCUGCACUUGAUUAGUUUGUUGGUGGGGUAAUGGCCUACCAAGACUGUGAUCAAUAGCUGAUUUGAGAGGAUGAUCAGCCACAUUGGGACUGAGACACGGCCCAAACUCCUACGGGAGGCAGCAGUGGGGAAUCUUGCACAAUGGAGGAAACUCUGAUGCAGCGAUGCCGCGUGAGUGAAGAAGGCCCUUGGGUUGUAAAGCUCUUUCGUCGGGGAAGAAAAUGACUGUACCCGAAUAAGAAGGUCCGGCUAACUUCGUGCCAGCAGCCGCGGUAAUACGAAGGGACCUAGCGUAGUUCGGAAUUACUGGGCUUAAAGAGUUCGUAGGUGGUUGAAAAAGUUAGUGGUGAAAUCCCAGAGCUUAACUCUGGAACUGCCAUUAAAACUUUUCAGCUAGAGUAUGAUAGAGGAAAGCAGAAUUUCUAGUGUAGAGGUGAAAUUCGUAGAUAUUAGAAAGAAUACCAAUUGCGAAGGCAGCUUUCUGGAUCAUUACUGACACUGAGGAACGAAAGCAUGGGUAGCGAAGAGGAUUAGAUACCCUCGUAGUCCAUGCCGUAAACGAUGUGUGUUAGACGUUGGAAAUUUAUUUUCAGUGUCGCAGGGAAACCGAUAAACACACCGCCUGGGGAGUACGACCGCAAGGUUAAAACUCAAAUGAAUUGACGGGGACCCGCACAAGUAGUGGAGCAUGUGGUUUAAUUCGAAGAUACGCGCAGAACCUCACCAACACUUGACAUGUUCGUCGCGACUCUAAGAGAUUAGAGUUUUCGGUUCGGCCGGACGAAACACAGGUGCUGCAUGGCUGUCGUCAGCUCGUGUCGUGAGAUGUUGGGUUAAGUCCCGCAACGAGCGCAACCCUCACUUUUAGUUGCCAUCAUUAAGUUGGGCACUCUGAAAGAACUGCCAGUGAUAAGCUGGAGGAAGGUGGGGAUGACGUCAAGUCCUCAUGGCCCUUACGUGUUGGGCUACACACGUGCUACAAUGGUAUCUACAACAGGAAGCAAGACUGCGAAGUUAAGCAAAUCCCUAAAAGAUACCUCAGUUCGGAUUGCACCCUGCAACUCGAGUGCAUGAAGCUGGAAUUACUAGUAAUCGUGGAUCAGCGUGCCACGGUGAAUGCGUUCCCGGGUCU
rnacentral:rRNA from 1 species